rnacentral:rRNA from 1 species
GACGGAGGAUGCAAGCGUUAUCCGGAAUGAUUGGGCGUAAAGCGUCCGCAGGUGGCAGUUCAAGUCUGCUGUCAAAGACCGGGGCUUAACUUCGGAAAGGCAGUGGAAACUGAACAGCUAGAGUAUGGUAGGGGCAGAGGGAAUUCCUGGUGUAGCGGUGAAAUGCGUAGAGAUCCGGAAGAACACCGGUGGCGAAGGCGGUCUGCUGGGCAGUAGCUGACACUGAGGCGCGGACAGCGUGGGGAGCAAACAGG